GACGAACGCUGGCGGCGUGCCUAAUACAUGCAAGUCGAACGCGCGGCGGACGGGUGCGUAAUGUAUGGGGACUGCCCGCUAGCGGGGGAUAACUCCUGGAUCCGGUAGCUACUACCGCAUAAUAUCUGGUAACCAAUAUGUGAUUCGCUAGUAGGUUAGGUAAUGGCUCACCUAGGAGACGAUCCCUAGCUGGUCUGAGAGGAUGAUCAGCCACACUGGGACUGAGACACGGCCCAGACUCCUACGGAGGCAGCAGUGGGGAAUAUUGCACAAUGGGCGCAAGCCUGAUGCAGCCAUGCCGCGUGUAUGAAGAAGGCCCUAGGGUUGUAAAGUACUUUCAGUCGGGAGGCGUUACCGACAGAAGAAGCACCGGCUAACUCCGUGCCAGCAGCCGCGGUAAUUC
rnacentral:rRNA from 1 species